GAAAGCAAUGUCCCAGACGGUCAUCAAGUGUGUCAGACGUUGAACAUCAGUAGCUUUACCACUUUUGAGGCUAAGCAGUGUCCAAGACGGUGGCUCCAGCGUCCAAGAUGCUGGGUAUUGGAAACAGCUACUCGCAUCCACUGCCAAGCGCCGUCCCGGAGACUCGGUCCGCGUCCAAGGCAUUGGAACGUCAUGAGAAUCACAGGUUCAAAGAAAGGAAAGGAUAAAGCAUCAUCUUCCUCGCCUCCGGCUAGUAAAAGACAAAAAAAGGGUACUCAAAUAACCGAAUCUGAAACGGUGCAAGUUCCCGAACCGAAGUGGACGAGGAGGAACUGGUUGUGUGAUUUAAAAGGGGUGUGUCGAAAAGAUUUAUAUUACAAGAAGCUGAAGGAAAAAGUAUCAAAUUUAGAUAAUCUUUUGGUGGUUGAGAAAGCUAUUAAAGUUGAAGAUUUUAGAUCGUUGAAGGUGGAAGAGUGUUUUGAAAGGCUCGGUUGGGAGGCAUGUUUGGUUUAUAGGGAUGAAAAGGGGGGUAAUAAUAUUCCAAGAGACGCCAUUUUGCAAUGGAUGGACACUUUAGAAAAGGAUGAGGGGGAUAAUCCUCCACGUACAACAACUCUUAAGGGGAAGGUUGGAAGGAAGAUAAUGGAGAUGUCAUUUGAUACAAUUCGACAGGUGGCUAAUUUUGAUACAAGGGAGGAAGGUACGUACUAUUACCCACCUGAUCGGGAAAUCUACAAGUAGAAUCAGGGUGAGGAGAUUGACCAGAAUAUGAAGGAUUUGUUGUGUCGACCGGGGACAACAGAGUGGGUUAGGCGAGAGAUGAAUAUUCUCCCCAAAUUAUGUGCGGUUAUCGCUGGGCAUAAUGUGAUACCCCGCCUAGGAGAUAAAGGGAAAGUGAGAUUGUAUGAGUUAAGGGUUUUAUGUGCAUUAGUGGCGGGAACCGAGAGACUUUCUUUAAGGCACCUGAUUAUGAGCAAUGUUUGGGAAAGCAGAAACAGUUAUGACCGGUGUUUCAUCCCUCACUGCCGGUUAAUCACACAUUUGAUAAGGGUUCAAGGAUGUCUUGGUAACAAUAUUUAUCAUGUACACAAAACUCAUCGAUUCUUAUCCUUGAACGGCUUAGAUAAGAAGGAUUGGGAGAUACACCCUUACUGAUACACAUCAUGUUUUGAAGGAUAGGGUAACGGGGCAAAGUUUAAAGGGUCGAAGAGACGACGUGCCACCGGUUGAUGAGAUAGAAGAAGAGAUGGAGGAUACAGAAGAGGAAGAGAGUGAAGAAAGUGAUGGUGAUGAGAUUGAUAGGAAGACGGGACAAUACAAAAAGGAGAUUGAGGUGUUGGUAGUGAUAUAACACCUCGAAAAUUCAUGUCCAAUAAUGUAUCGACACGUGUCAUGAGCUUUAAACGUGUAAAGGAUUACUUUAGAGGGACUAAAGUUGACAAACAAGGAAUCUAUGUGAAUAAAAGGAUUCAAAGUGUCAACAAUGAAUAAAUAUAUCUUUCAAUAACCCUACAUGAUGUUUAUACUCUUAAACGAAUAAAUCAUGGAUCAUACGAAGCAAAUUGUGAAAGAAAGUGAGGAAUUACAAACUACAUGGGUUAAAUGUGUCAACAUGUUUAAAGUAUACCUCUGAGUGACCUUUUAGCGAACCCGAAGCUUGUUAAUGAUUAAUUAUACUCACGAGAAUAAGUGAUAAAAAUUUCACAAAGUUUCGUUGUCGUAUGAGAAAGUUAUGACAAUAUUCGUAUACGAGGUGUUAAAAGCGUCAACGUUGAAAUUUAAGACUUUUCGGUGAUCGUAUGAAUAACCGGGGACUUAAUAAAGUUGGUUUAUGACUUGGGGUCCUUAAAAAUCAAGUUGGAAGGCCAAAAGUGCAAGAAACAAGCUCAAAACCACGUUUGAAAAGGAUCAGGGGCCAAAAUGUAAUAAAUGAAAGUUAUGUGACCUGACCCGACCCUCAUACCGGCCGCGUAAGGGUCUAUGGGGACCUUACGCGGGCCGCCUGGGGCUGCCAGCAACAGAAAAACACCACAGGUGGCUGUUUCAGCCGGUUACACCGCCUCAAUUUACCAUUUCUUGAUUCUAGGGGCUUGUUUGAUGGUUUAUGAUGGCCUAGGGACACUUGGGAUGAUCAGGAAUUAUCCCAUAGACUUAUUUGGCAUGAUCAUGAAGAAUUUAAACCCCUAUAUAAAGUACCAUUUGUUGCAAGACUUGGACACUUGCAUUCAAAGCUUCACAACUUCACUUCUGAGGAUUCCUGGAGCUCAAGCACCCUUCCUAGUGAUCAUUAGUCGUGCAUAGGACCUUGAAUAGGAGACCCGGUAAAAGCCACGUGCACUUGCUUAUUGUGAUUAUUACUUGCAAAGGUAAAUACUCUUAACUUAUUUUCCCUAUACGGGCUUGGGAUACGGUAUUAUAAUACCGCUUGGUCGGGUAUGUAGUCAUUUAAAUUGUAAUGUGAUUGAUGUAUUUACAUAACCUGUUUUAUUCUGUAUUAUUUGUUGUAUGGCCUUUGGGGGUUAAAUGACCAUGUCCCGGAUAUCCUUGGCAUCAUUCAAAGAAAUGGCCACGACCUAAGCACGGGGUGUAGGCGUACACCUGACAGAUGCAUAUGUAAAAACUGGUAGCCCACUUAAAGGAAAUAACCUUGUGAGUAUUAUACCUGUGGCGUGUCAGUUAAUCUUGAGCGGCCCUACAAACCGGCUCUAAUGGACGACAAAUAAGUAAAACUGUAUACAAGAUUAUUUCUAAAUAAUUGUCCCAAGUUAUAAAAGAUAUUUUUUUGCCUAAGUGCAUUCAAAUCAAUUUUCUAAACAUUUUCAAAAUGAGUCAGUUAAGUUGUAUUUACCAGUGUAAACUGACGUAUUUUCCAAAAAGGCUAAGUGCAGGUACUAUACGUAAUAGGCUGGCUACUCCAGGCAUCAAUUAUCAAGUCUUGCAAGCUCUAGAUGUCAAAGUCUGUUGAACAGUUUUCCUUUUUAUUUGAUCCGCCUGUGGAUCUGUUUAACUAUUUUGUGAUACUUAAUAUUACAAAUUAUUCAGUUGAAAUGAAUCAAUCUUUCUGCU